UCUACGGGAGGCUGCAGUGGGGAAUAUUGGACAAUGGGGGGAACCCUGAUCCAGCCAUGCCGCGUGUGUGAAGAAGGCCCUCGGGUUGUAAAGCACUUUCAGUGAGGAAGAACGCCUGGUGGUUAAUACCCAUCAGGAAAGACAUCACUCACAGAAGAAGCACCGGCUAACUCCGUGCCAGCAGCCGCGGUAAUACGGAGGGUGCGAGCGUUAAUCGGAAUUACUGGGCGUAAAGCGCGCGUAGGUGGCUUGAUAAGCCGGUUGUGAAAGCCCCGGGCUCAACCUGGGAACGACAUCCGGAACUGUCAAGCUAGAGUGCAGGAGAGGAAGGUAGAAUUCCCGGUGUAGCGGUGAAAUGCGUAGAGAUCGGGAGGAAUACCAGUGGCGAAGGCGGCCUUCUGGACUGACACUGACACUGAGGUGCGAAAGCGUGGGUAGCAAACAGGAUUAGAUACCCGUGUAGUC
rnacentral:rRNA from 1 species